CCAAAAUCAAGCUUUGCUUAUUAUGAUGAGAUUGAGGAGUAACUCAAGGCUUAUGCUCUAUAUGAAUGAUUCACUUGCAAAAUGGUGGAUUAAAAUGGAAUGUAGGUAGUAGCUUUGGAAGCCCAAGGAUGAGCGGAGGUUUUUGAAUUAUAAGGGAUGCAGGGGAAUUUUGUUGCUGCCUUCUCAAACUAUGGAAUUGGUUUUAAUAGGUUUUAAUGGUUUUAACAGUAAUUGUAUAGAAAAAUAUGUUUAUUUUGUAAUUUUUUUAUUGAUAGUUUUGUACUAGUAUUUUGCUCACUCCUUAA